CCUACGGGAGGCAGCAGUGAGGAAUAUUGGUCAAUGGACGAGAGUCUGAACCAGCCAUGUAGCGUGCAGGAUGACUGCUCUAUGGGUUGUACACUGCUUUUAUAAAGGAAUAAAACGAGGCACGUGUGCCUUUUUGCAAGUACUUUAUGAAUAAGGAUCGGCUAACUCCGUGCCAGCAGCCGCGGUAAUACGGAGGAUCCGAGCGUUAUCCGGAUUUAUUGGGUUUAAAGGGAGCGUAGAUGGGUUGUUAAGUCAGUUGUGAAAGUUUGCGGCUCAACCGUAAAAUUGCAAUUGAUACUGGCAGUCUUGAGUACAGAGGAGGUAGGCGGAAUUCGUGGUGUAGCGGUGAAAUGCUUAGAUAUCACGCAGAACACCGAUUGUGAAGGCAGCUUACCAAUCUGUGACUGACAUUGAGGCACGAAAGUGUGGGUAGCAAACAGGAUUAGAUACCCGAGUAGUC
rnacentral:rRNA from 1 species